rnacentral:lncRNA from 1 species
AAAUUAAAAAAAAAAAAAAAAAAAAAAAAAAAAAAAAAAAAAAAAAAAAAAAAAAAAAAAAAAAAAAAAAAAAAAAAAAAAAAACUAAAGUGGGUCUAUAAGCUUGGACACUCGUGCAUGCGUUAGAGAUAAGCUCAAAUAAUCAAAUAGUAGUAGUCAUAAUUAUCGGUUGGUGAAAAUCUCAUUGAGAUUGAGAUUACAUG